rnacentral:rRNA from 1 species
GUUUGAUCAUGGCUCAGAUUGAACGCUGGCGGCAGGCCUAACACAUGCAAGUCGAGCGGUAGAGAGAAGCUUGCUUCUCUUGAGAGCGGCGGACGGGUGAGUAAUGCCUAGGAAUCUGCCUGGUAGUGGGGGAUAACGCUCGGAAACGGACGCUAAUACCGCAUACGUCCUACGGGAGAAAGCAGGGGACCUUCGGGCCUUGCGCUAUCANAUGAGCCUAGGUCGGAUUAGCUAGUUGGUGAGGUAAUGGCUCACCAAGGCGACGAUCCGUAACUGGUCUGAGAGGAUGAUCAGUCACACUGGAACUGAGACACGGUCCAGACUCCUACGGGAGGCAGCAGUGGGGAAUAUUGGACAAUGGGCGAAAGCCUGAUCCAGCCAUGCCGCGUGUGUGAAGAAGGUCUUCGGAUUGUANAGCACUUUAAGUUGGGAGGAAGGGCAUUAACCUAAUACGUUGGUGUCUUGACGUUACCGACAGAAUAAGCACCGGCUAACUCUGUGCCA